AUGUUAAUUACUAAUGCUCUUUCACAGGUCAGUUGCUGAAUUAAGCUCAGUUAUGUGUUCACAAAUGUAAAAUCAUCAAAGCCUGCACAGUGGGAGAUCCUGGUUUCCUUUCUCUGGCCCUGGAUACGCAAGAGCUCAAGAUACAGUGAUGAACAAGAGUUAAGGGAUCUGCCUCAAAGAGCCCAUAUGUUACUUGGAGGAAAAAUACUAAAUUAUCAAGUGAACAAAAUAAAGAAGAUUCAUAUUGUGAUUGGUAAAAUAAAGGAAUUAAUAAUGAGACAUGAUACAAGGUAAUGGAAGUUCCUACCUUGGUUAUAGAAGAAAAAUUUCCUAUUAGGAGAUAAUGAAAUCAUUUUCAUGUAUCUUACAGUGACUGUUAGAAGACACAUGGACAAUUUAGUAACAGAGAUUUUAAAAUAAGGUAUUUAAUUUAUAUUAAAUAUAUAUUUAAAAAUAAAAUGAAAGAUAUUAAGGUAUACUUAUGUAUUUUGGAGAA
rnacentral:lncRNA from 1 species